AGCGAACGCUGGCGGCAGGCCUAACACAUGCAAGUCGAACGAACCUUUCGGGGUUAGUGGCGGACGGGUGAGUAACACGUGGGAACGUGCCUUUAGGUUCGGAAUAAAUCAGGGAAACUUGUGCUAAUACCGAAUGUGCCCUUCGGGGGAAAGAUUUAUCGCCUUUAGAGCGGCCCGCGUCUGAUUAGCUAGUUGGUUGAGGUAAUGGCUCACCAAGGCGACGAUCAGUAGCUGGUCUGAGAGGAUGAUCAGCCACAUUGGGACUGAGACACGGCCCAAACUCCUACGGGAGGCAGCAGUUGGGAAUCUUGCGCAAUGGGCGAAAGCCUGACGCAGCCAUGCCGCGUGAAUGAUGAAGGUCUUAGGAUUGUAAAAUUCUUUCACUGGGGACGAUAAUGACGGUACCCGGAUAAGAAGCCCCGGCUAACUUCGUG
rnacentral:rRNA from 1 species